rnacentral:rRNA from 1 species
GAGUUUGAUCUUGGCUCAGGAUGAACGCUGGCGGCGUGCCUAAUACAUGCAAGUCGGACGAGGGUUCAAGUCGUAAGACAUGAAUUCCUAGUGGCGAACGGGUGAGUAACACGUAGGCGACCUGCCCCGGAGAAGGGGAUAACGGCUCGAAAGGGCUGCUAAUACCCUAUUCUGCUCACAGAGGCUAGAGGCUCAGUGAGGAAAGGUGAAGACGCUCCGGGAGGGGCCUGCGGCCCAUCAGGUAGUUGGUGAGGUAACGGCCCACCAAGCCGAAGACGGGUAGGGGGCCUGAGAGGGUGGUCCCCCACACGGGCACUGAGAGACGGGCCCGACUCCUACGGGAGGCAGCAGUAAGGGAUAUUGCGCAAUGGGCGAAAGCCUGACGCAGCAACGCCGCGUGCCCGAGGAAGGCCUUCGGUCGUAAAGGGCUUUUAGGCUGAAGAGCAAGGACGGUAAGCCCGGAAGAAGUGUCGGCUAACUACGUGCCAGCCGCCGCCGUAAG